GAUGAACGCUGGCGGCGUGCCUAACACAUGCAAGUCGAGCGAACAGACGAUGAGCUUGCUCCUUUGACGUUAGCGACGGACGGGUGAGUAACACGUAGGUAACCUACCUCUAAUACUGGGAUAAUUUCGGGAAACCGGAGCCAAUACUAGCUAAUAUUUCGUACCGCAUGGUUCGAUAGUGAUUGAUGCCUUUGCUAUCACUUAUAGACGAACUUGCGCCGUAUUAGCUAGUUGGUAAGGUAACGGCUUACCAAGGCAACGAUACGUAGCCGACCUGAGAGGGUGAUCAGCCACACUGGAACUGAGACACGGUCCAGACUCCUACGGGAGGCAGCAGUAGGGAAUAUUCCGCAAUGGGCGAAAGCCUGACGGAGCAACGCCGCGUGAGUGAUGAAGGUCUUCGGAUCGUAAAACUCUGUUAUUAGGAAAGAACAGAAGUGGAAGUAACUGUGGACGUCUUGACGGUACCUAAAGAGAAAGCAACGGCUAACUUCGUG
rnacentral:rRNA from 1 species